rnacentral:rRNA from 1 species
GACGAACGCUGGCGGCGUGCUUAACACAUGCAAGUCGAACGGAAAGGCCCUGCUUUUGUGGGGUGCCCGAGUGGCGAACGGGUGAGUAACACGUGAGUAACCUGCCCUUGACUUUGGGAUAACUUCAGGAAACUGGGGCUAAUACCGGAUAGGAGCUCCUGCUGCAUGGUGGGGGUUGGAAAGUUUCGGCGGUUGGGGAUGGACUCGCGGCUUAUCAGCUUGUUGGUGGGGUAGUGGCUUACCAAGGCUUUGACGGGUAGCCGGCCUGAGAGGGUGACCGGCCACAUUGGGACUGAGAUACGGCUCAGACUCCUACGGGAGGCAGCAGUGGGGAAUAUUGCACAAUGGGCGGAAGCCUGAUGCAGCAACGCCGCGUGCGGGAUGACGGCCUUCGGGUUGUAAACCGCUUUCGCCUGUGACGAAGCGUGAGUGACGGUAAUGGGUAAAGAAGCACCGGCUAACUACGUG